UGAACGCUAGCUACAGGUUAAACACAUGCAAGUCGAGGGGCAGCAUGAAGUUUGCUUGCAAACUUUGAUGGCGACCGGCGCACGGGUGAGUAACGCGUAUCCAACCUACCUCUAACUAAGGAAUAGCCCGUUGAAAGACGGAUUAAUGCCUUAUGUUCUUCUUUUGCAGGCAUCUAAUGAAGAGUAAAGACUUGUUGGUUAGAGAUGGGGAUGCGUCCGAUUAGCUUGACGGUGAGGUAACGGCUCACCGUGGCGACGAUCGGUAGGGGUUCUGAGAGGAAGGUCCCCCACAUUGGAACUGAGACACGGUCCAAACUCCUACGGGAGGCAGCAGUGAGGAAUAUUGGUCAAUGGACGGAAGUCUGAACCAGCCAAGUAGCGUGCAGGAUGACGGCCCUAUGGGUUGUAAACUGCUUUUAUGUGGGGAUAAAGUUCGGGACGUGUCCUGAUUUGCAGGUACCACAUGAAUAAGGACCGGCUAAUUCCGUGCCAGCAGCCGCGGUAAUACGGAAGGUCCGGGCGUUAUCCGGAUUUAUUGGGUUUAAAGGGAGCGUAGGCUGUCUGGUAAGCGUGUUGUGAAAUGUAGGCGCUCAACGUCUGAAUUGCAGCGCGAACUACCGGACUUGAGUGCGCAGGAAGUAGGCGGAAUUUGUGGUGUAGCGGUGAAAUGCUUAGAUAUCACGAAGAACUCCGAUUGCGAAGGCAGCUUACUGUAGCGUUACUGACGCUGAAGUUCGAAAGCGCGGGUAUCGAACAGGAUUAGAUACCCUGGUAGUCCGCGCGGUAAACGAUGGAUGCUCGCUGUCAGCGAUAUAAUGUUGGUGGCCAAGCGAAAGCGUUAAGCAUCCCACCUGGGGAGUACGCCGGCAACGGUGAAACUCAAAGGAAUUGACGGGGGCCCGCACAAGCGGAGGAACAUGUGGUUUAAUUCGAUGAUACGCGAGGAACCUUACCCGGGCUUGAAUUGCAGAGGAAAGAUCCAGAGAUGGUGAUGCCCUUCGGGGUCUCUGUGAAGGUGCUGCAUGGUUGUCGUCAGCUCGUGCCGUGAGGUGUCGGCUUAAGUGCCAUAACGAGCGCAACCCCUUUUCGUAGUUGCCAUCAGGUGAUGCUGGGCACUCUGCGGAUACUGCCACCGUAAGGUGUGAGGAAGGUGGGGAUGACGUCAAAUCAGCACGGCCCUUACGUCCGGGGCUACACACGUGUUACAAUGGGGCAUACAGAGAGUUGUCUGCCGGCAACGUCAGUCUAAUCCUUAAAGUGCCUCUCAGUUCGGACUGGGGUCUGCAACCCGACCCCACGAAGCUGGAUUCGCUAGUAAUCGCGCAUCAGCCAUGGCGCGGUUGAAUACGUUCCCGGGCCUUGUACACACCGCCCGUCAAGCCAUGAAAGCCGGGGGCGCCUGAAGUCCGUGACCGCGAGGGUCGGCCUAAGGUGAAACCGGUGAUUGGGGC
rnacentral:rRNA from 1 species